ACGGGUGAGUAACACGUGGGUAACCUGCCUGUAAGACUGGGAUAACUCCGGGAAACCGGAGCUAAUACCGGAUAGUUCCUUGAACCGCAUGGUUCAAGGAUGAAAGACGGUUUCGGCUGUCACUUACAGAUGCGACCCGCGGCGCAUUAGCUAGUUGGUGGGGUAAUGGCUCACCAAGGCGACGAUGCGUAGCCGACCUGAGAGGGUGAUCGGCCACACUGGGACUGAGACACGGCCCAGACUCCUACGGGAGGCAGCAGUAGGGAAUCUUCCGCAAUGGACGAAAGUCUGACGGAGCAACGCCGCGUGAGUGAUGAAGGUUUUCGGAUCGUAAAGCUCUGUUGUUAGGGAAGAACAAGUGCGAGAGUAACUGCUCGCACCUUGACGGUACCUAACCAGAAAGCCACGGCUAACUACGUGCCAGCAGCCGCGGUAAUACGUAGGUGGCAAGCGUUGUCCGGAAUUAUUGGGCGUAGAGGGCUCGCAUGCGGUUUCUUAAGUCUGAUGUGAAAGCCCCCGGCUCAACCGGGGAGGGUCAUUGGAAACUGGGAAACUUGAGUGCAGAAAAAGAGAGUGGAAUUCCACGUGUAGCGGUGAAAUGCGUAGAGAUGUGGAGGAACACCAGUGGCGAAGGCGACUCUCUUGUCUGUAACUGACGCUUAGGAACGAAAGCGUGGCGAGCCAACAAGAUUAGAUACCCUGGGAGUCCACGCCGUAAA
rnacentral:rRNA from 1 species